AAUCAACGCUGGCGGCGUGCCUAACACAUGCAAGUCGCACGAGAAAGGGUAGCAAUACCUGAGUAAAGUGGCGCACGGGUGAGUAACACGUGACUAAUCUACCCUCGAGUGGGAAGUAACUGAGAGAAUACUUAGCUAAUACCGCAUAACACUUACGAGUCAAAGACAGCAAUGCGCUUGGGGAGGAGGUCGCGGCAGAUUAGCUAGUUGGUGGGGUAA
rnacentral:rRNA from 1 species